rnacentral:rRNA from 1 species
GACGAACCGUGCGACCGUUGUUCGGAAUCACUGGGCUUAAAGGGCGCGUAGGCGGGCUGCCAAGUCUGGGGUGAAAUCCCACGGCUCAACCGUGGAACUGCCUUGGAUACUGGCGGCCUCGAGGGAGGUAGGGGCAUGCGGAACUGUGGGUGGAGCGGUGAAAUGCGUUGAUAUCCACAGGAACUCCGGUGGCGAAGGCGGCGUGCUGGACCUCUUCUGACGCUGAGGCGCGAAAGCCAGGGGAGCAAACGGG